CAUCCUAAAAAUGGUACUUAAUUUUAUUUCUUGGCCCAGUGGCAGUUUAGCUAUUCUGCUAGGGAUGAAGAUACACAGAUGACACUGAGCAAGUAUAAUGGAAGGAGUUGGGGGGCAUCAAGUGUGGUUCAAAGGUCUGCCGGGACAGCUGGAUGGGUCAGGAGGGGUUCUUUGAGAUGGGAAACACUGAGCAUGAGGUGGUUCAGGGUAAAGAUGAUGAAGUCAGUUUGGGUAUGUCAUUCUGAGGACCUAUGGGAUAGCCAACCAGAAGUGCCUAAAACACAUAUAAAUAUUUACGUCUGGGCCCGGGAAAGAUCUUCCUGAAUUCUAGUCUUGGCUCCACCACUUAUAGCUGUGUGUCCUCGAGCAAGUUAUUAAACCUUUUUGUGCCUCAGUUUCCUCAAUUUCAAAGUGGGGACCUACCUCAUAAGGUUGUUGUGAGAAUUAAAUGAGCUAAUCAAUGUAAGGCACUUUGGACAGUUUGUAAGUGAUGAUGAUGAUGAUGAUGAUGAUCAUCAUCAUCAUCAUCUAGAUCGGAACACAGAUUUUGGGGUUGUCAGUAUGGAGGUACUAACUGAAGCCCAACAGUGUAAUUCAAGCCAUGGGAGUAGACAAGAUGGCCCAGGAAGUACAGAAAAGGAAAAAGGACUGAGGACAGAUCCUGAGGAACUCCUAUGUUUAAGCAGUGGGCAGAAGAGAGGCCUGAAAGGGAUGGCUGGUGAGGUGCAAGGAAAAUAAACAGAGUGCAAGGUCAAGAAACCAAGGCAGGAGAACAUUUCAGAAAAUGUAUUCACCAAUGUUAAACGCUGCUAAGGAAGAUCAUGAGGGA